rnacentral:rRNA from 1 species
CUUUCCCUCUUUCUUUAGGCCUAACACAUGCAAGUCGAACGGCAGCACAGUAAGAGCUUGCUCUUACGGGUGGCGAGUGGCGGACGGGUGAGGAAUACAUCGGAAUCUACUUUUUCGUGGGGGAUAACGUAGGGAAACUUACGCUAAUACCGCAUACGACCUACGGGUGAAAGCAGGGGAUCUUCGGACCUUGCGCGAUUGAAUGAGCCGAUGUCGGAUUAGCUAGUUGGCGGGGUAAAGGCCCACCAAGGCGACGAUCCGUAGCUGGUCUGAGAGGAUGAGCAGCCACACUGGAACUGAGACACGGUCCAGACUCCUACGGGAGGCAGCAGUGGGGAAUAUUGGACAAUGGGCGCAAGCCUGAUCCAGCCAUACCGCGUGGGUGAAGAAGGCCUUCGGGUUGUAAAGCCCUUUUGUUGGGAAAGAAAAGCAGCAGGUUAAUACCCCGCUGUUCUGACGGUACCCAAAGAAUAAGCACCGGCUAACUUCGUG